UACCAAGGCUCCCAUAACCCUAGUUAUGGAGUUUUAGCCAUACAUACUUAAAGAAAGAAAUUCCAUUGUAUAUUUCAUAAACAAUUCAGAAAUACUUACAAAAAUACAAGAGACUGUUCCAAAUCUUAGAUUGAUGGUGAAUAAAAUGAAAUCCCAAAUUGUCAACUUGUUUCUCAGUGAAUUCUAUGUUACAAUUGUUUUCAAUAGCCAAAAGAUGCGUAAUCUAACCCUAAGCUGGGUAUUUAUAGACUCUCAGAAAGUGAAUUUAAAAUUCAAAUAAAAGCUACUGCAUCAUCGGUUGAUGGAUAAAGUGACAAUCCGUAGCAAACCUGACGGCCUGUCUCUAGGAUCGUAAAGUCCAUGGUUUCUGUUUAAGGCUAACGGUCAAAGGGAUAGUCCGUCGCAAGACUGAUGGUCCGUCAGUGGAGGCCUUGAUGUCUCAGAUUCCACUUUAGCUUGACGGCCACAACGAUGACCCAUCACAAGCCCGACGUUUCGUCAGUUGGACCGUUGCUGACUUCAAGUGUAUGAAAUAUUCUUCCCAAGGUUGACGGUUGAGAUAACGGUCUGUCGACAAGGUAUGGGUCUCUUAAUUUCGCUAAUUGAAAAUGGGAGUGAGAAGCAAAUGAGGAUUGCUAAGGCUGCUGGAGUUGUCGUUUCAUUUGACUCGAAACCUAUUCCUGGUGUGAUUGCAGAUUGUGAUGCUUCAAAAUAGUCUUAUGGGAGGAAGAACAUAUGGACUUGAUCGAUACCAGAACUAGAGAAAUGCCUUGUAAAACUUGAUUUUUUGACAAAUAAGUAAAUAGUUUGUUUCAUGCAUUUAUGCAUUGCAACUAAUUCUUCUUUACCGACACCAAGUUGGGCCCGUGCUAACACGGCCCCUUCCCCCCAUUCUAGUUUGCGUUGGCCCACCAAC